rnacentral:lncRNA from 1 species
UUUGCAAAGCUUUCCACCUGCAAAAUCCUUCAUUUAUGUGUUUCUCACAAUAUAUGAAGAACAUCCUGCUACGUCCUGUUCCAAAACCACCUGAUUCAGUUUUUGAACUUUUAUAUCAACGAUGGAAUUGGUGGUCUCGGAAAAAAGUUACAACGCCGGCUCUACAUUAAUAAAGCAAGAAUCGGCGGAAAACAUUAAAUAUGGCCGAGCGAAAACCUAUUUUCAACACAUCUGAUCCAUCCAGUAGCUCUCAAAAGAGAUCGAGAUCUACAGCUUCCUAUCAAACACCACUGCGGCCCACUUUACCCGAGCCGGAUGAGACUAAAAUGAAAGACCUUAUGCACCAGUUGCUGGUUAAAGACAUGCUGACAAUGUCAGAAGUUACCUUCGCUCAACGUCAAAUUGCUGAUUGCACCUGGGUCGCGGAUUCGUUUUUAAAAAUGUCGCAUGAGGAGGUGUGUAGGAUAAUUACCAAAGCACGAGAUGAGGAGGAUGCCUGGAAGAGGAAGCGGAGGAUGGAAUAAAGUAUUAUCGUUUCGUUUGUGUGUUAUUUGGCUAUUAAGUAUGGAUGACAAUUAAGUAUUUCAUUUCAUGACAAUAUGUAAUAUUUUAGUAACUUCUGAAUAUACUUCUCCACUAAUCACUAGUUUGGUCUUUGA